rnacentral:rRNA from 1 species
GUUUCAGCCGCCGCGGUAAUACGAAGGGAGCUAGCGUUGUUCGGAAUCACUGGGCGUAAAGCGCACGUAGGCGGAUUUGUAAGUCAGGGGUGAAAUCCCGGGGCUCAACCUCGGAACUGCCUUUGAUACUGCAAAUCUCGAGUCCGAUAGAGGUGGGUGGAAUUCCUAGUGUAGAGGUGAAAUUCGUAGAUAUUAGGAAGAACACCGGUGGCGAAGGCGGCCCACUGGAUCGGUACUGACGCUGAGGUGCGAAAGCGUGGGGAGCAAACAGGAUUAGAUACCCCAGUAGUCC